GGUCAAGCUACCAAGGGCGCAUGGGGGAUGUCUUGGCAUUAGGAGGCUUUGAAGGGCGCGGAAGGCUGCGAAAAGCCUGGGGUAACCGUCAAACAGGUGAUGAUCCCGGGAUUCCCGAACUGGCUGUAACUGAAUACAUAGGUUGCAGUGGCCAACGCGGAGAACUGAAACAUCUAAGUAUCCGUAGGAAUAGAAAGAAAAAUCGAUUUCCUGAGUAGCGGCGAGCGAAAGGGAAAUAGCCCAAACCGUGGUGGUUUCCACUGCGGGGUUGUAGGGCCCUCCACCGGAGUUAUCAAACAAUUAGCUAGCAGAACGACUUGGAAAGGUCGUCCAUAGAGGGUGACAGACCCGUACGCGAAAGUUAAUUGUCUCUGGAGGGUACCCUGAGUAGGUCGAGGCACGUGAAACCUCGACUGAAUCUACGGGGACCAUCCCGUAAGGCUAAAUACUCCCUAAUGACCGAUAGUAAACAAGUAGAGCGAUCGAAAGAUGAGAAGAACCCCUGUUAGGGGAGGAAUGUGAACCUGAAACCAUGUGCCUACAAGCGGUCGGAGCGCUAUGGCCUUUUUGGCAAUGCGUGACGGCGUGCCUUUUGCAUAAUGAUCCGGCGAGUUACCGUCAGCGGCUCGGUUAAGGCCUUUCGGGCCGAAGCCAUAGGGAAACCGAGUCUGAAUAGGGCGACUAUUGGUCGCUGGUGGUAGACGCGAAACUGCACGAACUACCCAUGAGCAGGUUGAAUCGCGGGUAAAACCGCGUGGAGGACCGAACCCACUUGGGUUGAAAACCGAGGGGAUGACUUGUGGGGAGGAGUGAAAGUCUAAUCAAGCGCAGAGAUAGCUCGUUCUCUCCGAAAUAGCUUUAGGGCUAGCCUCGGGCAAUAGACAGUGGGGGUAGAGAGACUGAAUUGGAUGGGGGCCCUUCCCGGGUACCUCACCGAACCAAACUCCGAAUACCAUUGUCCGUACCCCGGGAGUCAGUCCGCGAGGGAUAAGCUUCGCGGUCGAGAGGGAAACAACCCAGACCACCUGCUAAGGUCCCCAAGUAAAACUCAGUCACUAAGGAAGUGAUUUUGCUAUGACAGCCAGGAUGUUGGCUUAGAAGCAGCCACCAUUUAAAAAGUGCGUAACAGCUUACUGGUCGAGCAAUUUUGCGCCGAUAAUGAACGGGAGUUAAGUUUUACACCGAAGCAGUGGGAUCCACUUUGUGGAUCGGUAGGAGAGCGCUGUACGUCAGAUACAAGUCGCACCGAAAGGAGCGAUGGUGGGGCGUACAGGUGAUUAUGCCGGAAUGAGUAACGAUAAAGCAGGUGAGAAUCCUGCUCGCCGAAAGCCUAAGGUUUCCUGGGGAAGGUAAAUCCGCCCAGGGUUAGCCGGUUCCUUAGUCGAGGCCGAAAGGCGUAGA
rnacentral:rRNA from 1 species